AGAGUUUAAUCCUGGCUUUGAAUGAACGCUGAAAAUACGCCUAACACAUGCUAGUUAUAACGAUUAAGAAAUCGUAGCGAAAAGGUGCAGAGUAGAUUAGAAUUUAUGUAUCAAUUAGGGACAAAAUAUUAAAAUAAAUCCCGGAUAAGAAAAAGAUUAAUCAAUGAUACAUGAGCUUUUUAAGGAUCAAGUAGUUGGUAGGGUAAUGGCUUACCAAGCUUAGGACGCUUUGUUGGUUUGAGAGAUCGAUCAGCCUCAUCGGAAUUGAAAUAGAGUCCGGACUUUACCUAAGGGCUGCAGUGUGGAAUUAUAGGCAAUUAGCUAAGGCUAGACCAUACGAUAUUUUAUGGGUGAAUGACAGCUAUUAGGCUGUAAAACCCUGUUUAUAAUGUAAUUAAUUGAUACGCAUUAUAAAACAAGUCCUGACUAAUCCUGUGCCAGCAGUCGCGGUAAUACAGGGGGGGCUAGCGUUAUUCAACGUUACUGGGCGUAAAGGGCAUGUAGACAACCUUUGCAGGCUAAUACUGAAAUUCUAUUUUUGUGGUAGAAGUGGUACUUAGCACCGUUAGGUUAGAGUUUAUGAGGGGAUACGGGAAUUUCUAAUGUAGAGGUAAAAUUCGACAAUAUUAGAAGGAAAAUUUGUUGGUGAAGACGCGUAUCCGGUAUAGACUGACGUUGAGGUGCGAAGGUAAGGGUAUCAAUCGGGAUUCGAGACCCCGGUAGUCCUUACAGAAAACGAUAAGUGUUGAGUGUUGAUUAAUGAUAUGCUUAAGCUAACGCGUUAAACACUUCGCCUGGGGAGUACGACCGCAAGGUUGAAACUUAAAGGAAAAGGCGGGGGCUGUUACAAGCGGUGAAACAUGUUGUUUAAUCUGAUAUUCCGCGUAGAACCUUACCAGUUUGUGAAUAAUGUAAAAGUAAGGGAGAGAUUUCUUAUGGAGCAUUUACAGGAGUUGCAUGGCUGCCGUUCAGCCCGUGGUUUAAAUCGUAUGGUUAAUUCCAAACAUUUAACGGGCGAAAUUCUUAUUCUUAUUUUGAGAAUAUCUUUCUUAAAAGAUAUUUUUAUAAGAAACAAAUUAUGAAAAUAAAUGGAAGUUAGAAGGACGUAAAGUCGAUAUGACCUUUUUUAAACUGGGCCACAGACGUGUUGCAAUGAAAACUACAAUAAGAGACGAUGGCGUGAGUCGGAGUAAAUCUUGAAAAGUUUUCUUAGUACGGAUUGUUUUCUGAAAUUCGAAAGCAUGAAGUUGGAAUCGCUAGUAAUCGUAGAUCAGCAUGCUACGGUGAAACUGUUACACAGCCCUGUACACACCGCCCGUCACAGUUCGGGAGUUAGCUUAUGUCAAGUGGGUUGCGCUUUUGGUAUUGUUACAAUAUUACAAAAAGUUGUCUUACGUAUGUAGGUUAGUAACUGAAAUGAAGUCGUAACAAGGUAACUGUAAGGGAACUUGUAGUUG
rnacentral:rRNA from 1 species